AGAGUUUGAUCAUGGCUCAGAAUCAACGCUGGCGGCGUGCCUAACACAUGCAAGUCGAACGAGAAAGUGGAGCAAUCCAUGAGUAAAGUGGCGACCGGGUGAGUAACACGUGACUAACCUACCUUCGAGUGGGGGAUAACCUCGGGAAACCGGGGCUAAUACCGCAUAAAAUCUUUGGGAUGAGAAGCCGAAGAUCAAAGGAGCAAUUCGCUUGAAGAGGGGGUCGCGGCUGAUUAGCUAGUUGGUGGGGUAACGGCCCACCAAGGCUUUGAUCGGUAGCCGGCCUGAGAGGGCGCACGGCCACACUGGAACUGAAACACGGUCCAGACUCCUACGGGAGGCAGCAGUGGGGAAUUUUGCGCAAUGGGGGAAACCCUGACGCAGCAACGCCGCGUGGAGGAUGAAGUCCCUUGGGACGUAAACUCCUUUCGACCGGGACGAUAAUGACGGUACCGGUGGAAGAAGCCCCGGCUAACUUCGUGCCAGCCGCCGCGGUAAUAC
rnacentral:rRNA from 1 species